rnacentral:rRNA from 1 species
CCUACGGGAGACAGCAGUGAGGAAUAUUGGUCAAUGGACGAGAGUCUGAACCAGCCAAGUAGCGUGAAGGAUGACUGCCCUAUGGGUUGUAAACUUCUUUUAUAUGGGAAUAAAACGUUCCACGUGUGGGAUUUUGUAUGUACCAUAUGAAUAAGGAUCGGCUAACUCCGUGCCAGCAGCCGCGGUAAUACGGCGGAUCCGAGCGUUAUCCGGAUUUAUUGGGUUUAAAGGGAGCGUAGGUGGAUUGUUAAGUCAGUUGUGAAAGUUUGCGGCUCAACCGUAAAAUUGCAGUUGAAACUGGCAGUCUUGAGUACAGUAGAGGUGGGCGGAAUUCGUGGUGUAGCGGUGAAAUGCUUAGAUAUCACGAAGAACUCCGAUUGCGAAGGCAGUUCACUGGACUGCAACUGACACUGAGGCUCGAAAGUGUGGGUAUCAAACAGGAUUAGAUACCCCAGUAGUC